CAUACUUCGAAUGAAUCGAAUACGUAACGUGUUUAAACAGAUAUAACCACUUUCUGAAAAUGAAACGUGCAAAGUUUAAAACGGAAAAAGGAGUAAAACACAUUUAAUUACAGGAUGUCUUAGGAUUAAAGAUGGAAGACUCGCAAGUAGCGAUAGAAGGCAAUGGUAGGCCUCUUAAAAGACACCGGAGCAAAUCGGCUGAUAAAGGUGAAAAGUCAACAGAAGACUCACAUGUGGCAGUGGAAGAAGAUGUUAGGCCUUCAAAACGACAUCGAAGAAAGUCAGCAUAUAAAGGUAACUUUGCUGGU